UACGGACGGCGCGAGCGUUACCCGGAUUUACUGGGCGUAAAGGGCGUGUAGGCGGCCUGGGGCGUCACAUGUGAAAGGCCACGGCUCAACCGUGGAGGAGCGUGGGAUACGCUCAGGCUAGACGGUGGGAGAGGGUGGUGGAAUUCCCGGAGUAGCGGUGAAAUGCGCAGAUACCGGGAGGAACGCCGAUGGCGAAGGCAGCAACCUGGCUCACUGGUGACGCUGAGGCGCGAAAGCGUGGGGAGCAAACCGG
rnacentral:rRNA from 1 species